rnacentral:rRNA from 1 species
AAUUAACGCUGGCGGCAUGCGUAACACAUGCAAGUCGCACGAGAAAGCCCGGUUCGCCGGGCGAGUAAAGUGGCGCACGGGUGAGUAACGCGUGGGUAAUCUACCUCGGUCUGGGGGAUAACGCACCGAAAGGUACGCUAAUACCGCAUGACACGGCGGGUCGCAGGACCUGUCGGAAAAGGUGGCCUCUACAUGUAAGCUACUGAACUGAGAUGAGCCCGCGUCGUAUUAGCUAGUUGGUGAGGUAAAGGCUCACCAAGGCGACGAUGGGUAGCGGGUCUGAGAGGACGGCCAGCCACACUGGAACUGGUACACGGUCCAGACUCCUACGGGAGGCAGCAGUGAGGAAUAUUGCGCAAUGGGGGAAACCCUGACGCAGCGAUGCCGCGUGGGUGAAGAAGGCCUUCGGGUCGUAAAGCCCUGUCAAGCGGGAAGAAUAGCUCCGGAGCUAAUAUCUUCGGAGUGUGACGGUACCGCUGAAGGAAGCACCGGCUAACUCCGUGCCAGCCGCCGCAGUAAGAC